GACGAACGCUGGCGGCGUGCUUAACACAUGCAAGUCGAACGGAAAGGCCCUGCUUUUGUGGGGUGCUCGAGUGGCGAACGAGUGAGUAACACGUGAGUAACCUGCCCUUGACUUUGGGAUAACUUCAGGAAACUGGGGCUAAUACCGGAUAGGAGCUCCUGCUGCAUGGUGGGGGUUGGAAAGUUUCGGCGGUUGGGGAUGGACUCGCGGCUUAUCAGCUUGUUGGUGGGGUAGUGGCUUACCAAGGCUUUGACGGGUAGCCGGCCUGAGAGGGUGACCGGCCACAUUGGGACUGAGGUACGGCCCAGACUCCUACGGGAGGCAGCAGUGGGGAAUAUUGCACAAUGGGCGGAAGCCUGAUGCAGCAACGCCGCGUGCGGGAUGACGGCCUUCGGGUUGUAAACCGCUUUCGCCUGUGACGAAGCGUGAGUGACGGUAAUGGGUAAAGAAGCACCGGCUAACUACGUG
rnacentral:rRNA from 1 species